GCCUGAUCAGGUUGAAGUCAGGGGAAACCCUGAUGGAAGACCGAAGCAGUUCUGACGUGCAAAUCGAUUGUCAGAAUUGGGCAUAGGGGCGAAAGACCAAUCGAACCAUCUAGUAGCUGGUUCCCUCCGAAGUUUCCCUCAGGAUAGCUGGUGCAUAUACCGUUUCAUUAAACUUAAUAAAUCUUAUCUGGUAAAGCGAAUGAUUAGAGGCAUUAGGUUCGAAACGUUCUUAACCUAUUCUCAAACUAUAAAUGGGUACGAUAUAAGAGUUUCUUGAUUGAACUCUUAUUUCACGCUAUAAUGGCGUACCAUAUCAAACAUUUAUAACAUGUUUGUAAUUUGGUUUAGAUUUAUUGUGCCCAGUGGGCCAAG
rnacentral:rRNA from 1 species